CAGUGCCGCGGUAACACAGAGGGUGCGAGCGUUAAUCGGAUUUACUGGGCGUAAAGCGUGCGUAGGCGGCUUCUUAAGUCGGAUGUGAAAUCCCUGAGCUUAACUUAGGAAUUGCAUUCGAUACUGGGAAGCUAGAGUAUGGGAGAGGAUGGUAGAAUUCCAGGUGUAGCGGUGAAAUGCGUAGAGAUCUGGAGGAAUACCGAUGGCGAAGGCAGCCAUCUGGCCUAAUACUGACGCUGAGGUACGAAAGCAUGGGGAGCAAACAGGAUUAGAUACCCCCGUAGUCCCUGUCUCUUAUACA
rnacentral:rRNA from 1 species